UACAGAGGUGGCAAGCGUUGUUCGGAAUUACUGGGCGUAAAGGGCGCGUAGGCGGUCUUGUCAGUCCCUUGUGAAAUCCCCCGGCUCAACUGGGGAACUGCACGGGAAACAGCAGGGCUUGAGUUCGGGAGAGGGAAGCGGAAUUCCGGGUGUAGCGGUGAAAUGCGUAGAUAUCUGGAGGAAUACCGGUGGCGAAGGCGGCAUCCUGGACCAGUACCGACGUUCAGGCACGAAAGCGUGGGGAGCAAACAGG
rnacentral:rRNA from 1 species